GACGAACCGUGCGAACGUUAUUCGGAAUCAUUGGGCUUAAAGGGCGCGUAGGCGGACUAUCAAGUCUGGGGUGAAAUCCCGCGGCUCAACCGUGGAACUGCCUUAGAUACUGACGGUCUCGAGGGAGGUAGGGGCAUGCGGAACUGUAGGUGGAGCGGUGAAAUGCGUUGAUAUCUACAGGAACUCCGGUGGCGAAAGCGGCAUCCUGGACCGAUAUUGACGCUGAGGAGCGAAAGCCAGGGGAGCAAACGGG
rnacentral:rRNA from 1 species